UACAGAGGUCUCAAGCGUUGUUCGGAUUCAUUGGGCGUAAAGGGCUCGUAGGCGGUCUGUUGCGUCAGGAGUGAAAACUCGGGGCUUAACCCCGAGCCUGCUUCUGAUACGGGCAGACUAGAGGUAUGCAGGGGAGAACGGAAUUCCUGGUGUAGCGGUGAAAUGCGCAGAUAUCAGGAGGAACACCGGUGGCGAAGGCGGCAUCCUGGACCAACACUGACGCUGAGGAGCGAAAGCCAGGGGAGCAAACGGG
rnacentral:rRNA from 1 species